AGUGAACGCUGGCGGUAGGCCUAACACAUGCAAGUCGAACGGCAGCACAGUAAGAGCUUGCUCUUACGGGUGGCGAGUGGCGGACGGGUGAGGAAUACAUCGGAAUCUACUUUUUCGUGGGGGAUAACGUAGGGAAACUUACGCUCAUACCGCAUACGACCUACGGGUGAAAGCAGUGGAUCUUCGGACCUUGCGCGAUUGAAUGAGCCGAUGUCGGAUUAGCUAGUUGGCGGGGUAAAGGCCCACCAAGGCGACGAUCCGUAGCUGGUCUGAGAGGAUGAUCAGCCACACUGGAACUGAGACACGGUCCAGACUCCUACGGGAGGCAGCAGUGGGGAAUAUUGGACAAUGGGCGCAAGCCUGAUCCAGCCAUACCGCGUGGGUGAAGAAGGCCUUCGGGUUGUAAAGCCCUUUUGUUGGGAAAGAAAAGCAGCAGGUUAAGACCCCGCUGUUCUGACGGUACCCAAAGAAUAAGCACCGGCUAACCUCGUG
rnacentral:rRNA from 1 species